UACGGAGGGGGCGAGCGUUGUCCGGAAUCAUUGGGCGUAAAGCGCGUGUAGGCGGCUCGGUAAGUCUGCUGUGAAAGUCCAGGGCUCAACCCUGGGAUGCCGGUGGAUACUGUCGAGCUCGAGUCCGGAAGAGGCGAGUGGAAUUCCUGGUGUAGCGGUGAAAUGCGCAGAUAUCAGGAGGAACACCAAUGGCGAAGGCAGCUCGCUGGGACGUGACUGACGCUGAGACGCGAAAGCGUGGGGAGCGAACAGG
rnacentral:rRNA from 1 species